rnacentral:rRNA from 1 species
GACGAACGCUGGCGGCGUGCCUAAUACAUGCAAGUAGAACGCUGAAGGAGGAGCUUGCUUCUCCGGAUGAGUUGCGAACGGGUGAGUAACGCGUAGGUAACCUGCCUGGUAGCGGGGGAUAACUAUUGGAAACGAUAGCUAAUACCGCAUAACAGUAGAUGUUGCAUGACAUUUGCUUAAAAGGUGCAAUUGCAUCACUACCAGAUGGACCUGCGUUGUAUUAGCUAGUUGGUGAGGUAACGGCUCACCAAGGCGACGAUACAUAGCCGACCUGAGAGGGUGAUCGGCCGCACUGGGACUGAGACACGGCCCAGGCUCCUUCGGGAGGCAGCAGGAGGGAAUCUUCGGCAAUAGACGGAAGUCUGACCGAGCAACGCCGCGGGAGUGAAGAAGGUUUUCGGGUCGUAAAGCUCUGUUGUAAGAGAAGAACGAGUGUGAGAGUGGAAAGUUCACACUGUGACGGUAUCUUACCAGAAAGGGACGGCUAACUACGUG